UACACAUUAUACUCAUAACAAUUGGAAUCGAUUUCUUGACAAAAACCGAGGCUCUUUUACCAUCCGGAUGAUUCUGGUUUUCCUUUAGGUUUCUAAGUUGGUCAUAAGAUGAUAUUUGAUUUUAGGUCUUAUCAUUUUUUAUAUUUGUUGAAUGUUUUACUUACCCGUAUCACUUGUUUGUUUUGUUUGUUUGUUUAUUUUUACAAAAAUUACCGAAAACAGAUUCCAUGGAUUUAGCGCCUAUGAUGGAGUAGAUUCCACUAGAAGUGUGUCUAUUGGGCUUGUCAUCGCCACAGGGUAGCGGAAGUUCCUUGCCUCAGAAUAGCGUUACUUGUCAAACUCCCAGAAGCUGCAAACUUGCAAGAGAAAGAAGAAGCGAAGCGGAAAUAAGUUGCGCUCUUUAAAGGACGAACUUCAACGUUCGAAAUACCUGAAGAGCUGUUAAAAGAAAAAAAAGCGCCGAGUGAUAUCCGGCAAUAUCUAAGUAUGUGACCGUAUGUGACAAAGUGCAACAAACAGACCAUCUUCGUCCGACCGCAAACGAAUUAAAGUAUCUAUCCUGACGUCAGGAUCUUAGGAUUAAGGCCGCAUGCAAGGUUUCCAUCGCAUCUCCAAGAAUAAUUCGCCGGCUUGAAUCUCCCCAUACCGAAUUUUAAGUACGUCUCGUUUUCUGUCGGUCUCUUCAAUGAUUUUAGCACGCUCGCUUUGCAAGUUUGAUUAUCAUAUUUGCUAAAACAUUUCAAGUUUUCAAGACUAUGGUGCGUCCAGCUUCGGAUCCCAACAACCUUGUGCUAACUGCUCCUAGUUUUGGCGUCGUGGCCUCCACUACAGCAAAUAAUUAACUGCCAGUCUUUCGCAAAUUGAAAAAAAAGAAAGACAACUGCCUACAAGAAAAUUCAACGCUUCUCGAAACGCUUUUAAGAAAAUCGCAGCCUUUGUAUCGCAGCGCCUCUAUCGGUUUGAUAAUGCACUAGUGAGUCCUUCAGCCUUUGCAUAGAUGUGAUAGAUGGUCAGACUGCCAAGUGCCAAACUGCCAACUCAAUAUAGAAUAUAUUGUUUUAUAGAAGUGUCAUCCAUUGGAAAGUAAUAGAUCUGUGAUACCACGGUGAUACCCAUGAGUGUGUCGCCAACAUGUGCUUGAAACAAAGCAGUCUAUGUUCAGCUGGAAGACUCUGAAGAGUAAUGUACUUAAAUCCAAGUCUAAAGCACCAGAUAUGGAAACACAAAGAGAAAGAAUUUUGCCCUUAUUGUCAGUGGAGUUGGCGCUAGUUCUCUGCAAGCUGCUUUUGUUACUUGUUUGAUGUUAAGCAAUGCAGAUUAAUAGCUGGACCAUGAUAAAUCAUCACCCAUACAUGAGAUUGAAAAUCAAAUUUAAAAAAAAGUGAACUUUCCUAUGAUGACAGCCCAAUUUGAGCCAACUUGAUCGCAUACCAAAGCCCUAUCUGCUGCAGCCAGCUACAGAAGAACAAACAAGUACCAGGGUGCAACGAGUCCAAUUGUUCUGUUGGCUGGUACCAACACUGCAAUGCUGGCCUAGCAAUUAGUUGCUGGAAAACAUCAUCUUAGCUCAAUCAAUGGCCAACAUUUUCUUGUCUAGUCCAAAAUGGGCAAUUCACCAACUGUAGGAUAGCCAGCAGCUAGGGUAAACCAUUGAUGCAGCUGACAUUCAAAACAUCUAACGGCGUAGAUGCUUCCUUUUGCCAACCGGCCAGAAGACCUGGACCUCAAUGGAUAGCACAACUACUACAUCUUCCACGGUGGAGGUUGCUUCCCCCGCCGUCACUCCGACUUUUAUGGAAACUGUUACGGCUUCUGCUGUCGUUGUUACGACACUUGCUGUAAUUACAAUUGCUGGCGCUGACAAGCAGGUGAAUCGGGUACUGUUACUCCUGACUUUGUUCUGCAAGCCCCCCACAAUUUAUUGAACGGAGGACAUUUUCAUCUACACUGCUCGGAUUAUUGAACCACCUGGCACGUCGUUGCCCUCCAAAAUUAUCAACAAUAGAAUGCCCGUUAACAGCCUAACAAUGCAGCUGUUGACUUUCCUGAGCUUGGUUAACAAAAAGAGACGUGCAAUCAAGUCUGCUCGACGAGCUUAAGGUUCUUGACUGAAACGAUGGAGCAGGAAUGGUGAGACGCUGAGACCAUACAAGACUGCUUUGAGACAUUGUUUUUAUUCUUCUGGUGUCAUUUUGUAGAAUAUGUUUUGUUUACUGGAUAUGUGAGUGAAGUAGAAAGGACAAGGAAAUCCAUCCUGGGAUAAAGGGAGAAGUGCAUGGACAGAAUAGUGCAGAAUGGUAAAUCUGCAUAAUGAAAACAAAAUUGAUGAAAGAACACUAUUGUGUUGAUACUACGAGCUCAAUUGAACUGGGUAGUGUUAAAUUAUCUUGUGUGUAACAUAAGUUAUUCAGUGAUAACUAGCCAUUUAAGCCUAACGAUAAUUUUGUUGUUAAAUAAAUAAACUUUAUGAAGUAAUA